rnacentral:rRNA from 1 species
CCUACGGGCGGCAGCAGUCGGGAAUAUUGGGCAAUGGAGGCAACUCUGACCCAGCAAUACCGCGUGAAGGAUGAAGGUUUUCGGGUUGUAAACUUCUGUUAUAAGGGAAGAAAAAAUUGACGGUACUUUAUAAGUAAGCCCCGGCAAACUCGGUGCCAGCAGCCGCGGUGAUACAUAGGGGGCAAGCGUUGUCCGGAAUGACUGGGUGUAAGGGCUGUGUAGGUGGCUUAUUAAGUUAGAGGUGAAAGCCCGAAGCUCAACUUUGGACCUGCCUUUAAACCUGGUUGGCUUGAGUGUUGGAGAGGUUAGUGGAAUUCCUAGUGUAGCGGUGGAAUGCGUAGAUAUUAGGAAGAACAUCAGAGGCGAAGGCGACUAACUGGAACAUGACUGACACUGAGACACGAAAGCGUGGGGAGCAAACAGGAUUAGAUACCCGGGUAGUC